GACGAACGCUGGCGGCGUGCUUAACACAUGCAAGUCGAACGGAAAGGCCCUGCUUUUGUGGGGUGCUCGAGUGGCGAACGGGUGAGUAACACGUGAGUAACCUGCCCUUGACUUUGGGAUAACUUCAGGAAACUGGGGCUAAUACCGGAUAGGAGCUCCUGCUGCAUGGUGGGGGUUGGAAAGUUUCGGCGGUUGGGGAUGGACUCGCGGCUUAUCAGCUUGUUGGUGGGGUAGUGGCUUACCAAGGCUUUGACGGGUAGCCGGCCUGAGAGGGUGACCGGCCACAAUGGGACUGAGAGACGGCCCAGACUCCUACGGGAGGCAGCAGUGGGGAAUAUUGCACAAUGGGCGGAAGCCUGAUGCAGCAACGCCGCGUGCGUGAUGCCGGCCUUCGGGUUGUAAACCGCUUUCGCCUGUGACGAAGCGUGAGUGACGGUAAUGGGUAAAGAAGCACCGGCUAACUACGUG
rnacentral:rRNA from 1 species